rnacentral:rRNA from 1 species
CGAAGCAUGACCCUUGAGGCCUUCGGGCGGAAGGGGCCAUGACUUAGUGGCGGACGGGUGAGUAACGCGUGGGUAACCUGCCCUAUACUGGGGGAUAACAGCUAGAAAUGGCUGCUAAUACCGCAUGAGCGCACAGUCCCGCAUGGGACAGUGCGGAAAACUCCGGUGGUAUAGGAUGGACCCGCGUCCGAUCAGCUGGUUGGUGGGGUAACGGCCCACCAAGGCGACGAUCGGUAGCCGACCUGAGAGGGUGACCGGCCACAUUGGGACUGAGACACGGCCCAAACUCCUACGGGAGGCAGCAGUGGGGGAUAUUGCACAAUGGGGGGAACCCUGAUGCAGCGACGCCGCGUGAGUGAAGGAGUACUCCGGUAUGUAAAGCUCUAUCAGCAGGGAAGAACAAAGACGGUACCUGACCAAGAAGCCCCGGCUAACUACAAAACCAGCAGCCGCGGUAAUACGUAGGGGGCGAGCGUUAUCCGGAUUCACUGGGUGUAAAGGGAGCGUAGACGGCCGAACAAGUCUGGAGAGAAAGCCCGGGGCCCAACCCCGGGACUGCUCUGGAAACUGGUGGGCUAGAGUGCUGGAGAGGUAAGUGGAAUUCCUAGUGUAGCGGUGAAAUGCG